rnacentral:rRNA from 1 species
UACGUAGGGUGCAAGCGUUGUCCGGAAUUAUUGGGCGUAAAGAGCGUGUAGGCGGCCCCGUUAGUCCGCUGUGAAAGUCCAGGGCUCAACCCUGGAAUGCCGGUGGAUACUGCGGGGCUAGAGUCCGGAAGGGGCGAGUGGAAUUCCUGGUGUAGCGGUGAAAUUCGUAGAUAUCAAGAGGAAUACCGGUGGCGAAGGCGGCCAACUGGACGAAAACUGACGCUGAGACACGAAAGCAUGGGGAGCAAACAGG